ensembl:lncRNA
CUGAAAUAUACCAGCCAGCACAUACACAUUUGACUAGCAGCUUGUGCUAUCUCCCGCCUAGCAAUAACGUCAAUGGUGGAGCUCUGGCUAACUGUUUUUCUGUCAAUUCACCUGCACAACUCGUUAAUGCCUGACUUCGGAAUAAAUCCUUUAUUUUUGAGCACUUAGAUGCAUCCCCCUCCAGCAUCCGCUUUUCAGCCCCUCCUUUCUCUUUUCUCUUCUUGCCUUCUGUAGUAUAGUAUCUUAGCUACUGGAGAUAUCGCGAGAUGCUGGGAGAGAUCGCGGGAUGCGGAGAGACAGAUAGAUACGCUAGACUGAGAGCAGGGACAUGGUGAUUAUAAUGUGUUAAUAAAUCGAGUUAAUAAGAACCUGACUGAUCAUUUAUGGACAACACAACAUUUGGCGACGAGGAUGGGAUAGUUUGCUAUGAAGUCGAAGGCAACAAGACGACACGGAUUUCACGUCUAAUACGCCGGGGAAACGCAGACUGAACCACGAGUGACCACCAUGUCGCAGGAGGGACAACAGGCUGCUGCUGCACCAGUGCCGCCGGCGCCUGCUUUCCACGCUCAACUAGCCCCGCCAGUCCCAUUGAACCUGGGAGCAUCGGACUUGUAUACGGAAUACACGUUAUGGAAGGACUCGUACAAUUUAUUCGAAGUUGCGAGUGGGACUGUCAGUGCACAGGACGCGGUCAGAAGAGCCACGUUUCUGCAUUGCAUUGGUGCGCCGACCCAGAGGAUUUUCGCUAAUCUACCCGGAGACAAAGGUACGCAUGCGCAGGCUGUUGCUGCCCUGGAUGUAUACUUUACGCCACGGAGAAAUGUGGUUUUGGAAAGACACAAGUUUAGACAAAGAGCUCAGUUUCCCGACGAGUCGGUUGAUGCUUUUGUGAAUGGACUGCGGGAACUAGCGAAAUCGUGCGACUUCGGCCCACUGGAGAAUGACAUGAUCAGGGAUCAGAUUGUGGAGAAAUGUGCGAUGAAGAGGCUGCGUGACAAACUGUUACAGGAGGAUGGACUGGUUUUAGACAAAGCAUUGUCAACUGCAAGAGCUUUUGAAGCUGCGCAGACGGAGUCUAGAUUAUUUUCGGAGGCCAGUGAUCACAGAGCCCGGGACAAUCAGGUUCACUUCACGACGAGGAGGAGUCGCGGUGACGACACGAAAAUGAAACCUAAAGCACACGGAAGAAGCGAAAGCAGAAAUGAUGACGGUCCCAUGAGCUCUACCGGAAGGGGCGUGACUUCGCCACUCUAUUUUGCAUGGACACCGCUGCUGCUUCCCGGGCUUAGCCCCGCCCUAGACGAUUAUGAUUGGUUUAAAGAAAUAAAAACAGGCCCGCCCAGUUUCCCCACGGAUAGACGUCUCGAGGUAGCGUGGUUCCAGACCAUUCUACUUGCUGUAGUUUGGUCUGGCUUUGCGAGACUAGCUGUUUCCCAAUUCAGGGGGGGCUGUACGAAUAGUCAAAUCUCCUAACCUUAAUGCCUCCUUUACCAAAUUUUUGUGGAAAACGUAAUCGGGUCAAGGAGAGAUGAAAUUUUGCUUCCUUUCGAACAUGAAUUUGAGUACACUUUUUCUAACCGACUUCAUUGCGCGACGGGGAGUAUGGCUGACCUCUAGCGUCUCUAUGCUGGAACUACAGUUUUCCGAAGUUGGUCUACAACAAGCGCUCUUUUGAUCCAUGCGUUCUUGUCGUACUGAUUUCACCACUUAGGUCGGACUUGGCCAACGAAAAUAUUUUAGGCCAGUUGAAUCCCAAUUCACAUGUGAAAAAAAGAGGCUCAAUUUAUGUUGAUUUUGUAAUUAACUUCCCCCAGUAGUCUUUCUUAAAUGUGAAGUCUGC